AACUGACUAAUCUAAUUUAUAUGCUCAAAUAUAAUAUUAAAAAUAUGAAUUUAAAAGAUUAUAAUAUGGUUUCAUCCAUUAGCCUUAGUUAGUUAGUUCAUAAUUCACACCAAAAAGCUGUUAAUUUACUUAUUCUCAGCCCAAGAAGAUGUAGGUGACCUUUUUUUUUCUUCGGAAAAACAUUAAAGAAUAUAUUUAGCUUAAACUGUGGUCUUUGGUCAUCUACAACAUGCAAGGCAUGAACUGCAGGCACAUCGAGAGUUGAAAAAACAUUCAAGCAAAAUAACUUUAAUACCUAAUGUAAAAUGACUGGUCUGCACAAGAAAACAAGCUUUAUUUGCAACAGUGUUCUACUGAAGAAAAAGUCUUGGAUGACAUGAGGACUAAGAGGUGUCAACAUGAGUCACUUCCUGACCUAGCUGACCCCGCUUGCAAUGAAAACUGCUCUGCAAUCCGCAAACUCAACUCUUCCCACUGCAUGAUGGGAAGGUCGUGGUCACCCAGAGGAGACUCUUCUUCACUUUGCUGUCUAGUCCCCUGGUCAGAGGGUGAGGGGUCAUCGGUGGUCCU